ACACACCCAGUGUGUGUGUGUGUGUUGCACUGAAACUCACUCCUUCAAGUGAAAUACACAAACGAUGAGCCCAUUAAGCAACGAUUUGAUCAGGGAUAUUUUUGAUUCUUUAAAGUCACCGACCGCUACCCCGGAAGAGACGCUUGGGUCCGCCAGAGUGCACGUGUCUCUUUUGAGACCUCCGCAAUCGUCGCUGCAGUGAGACUCGGUUCGGCUUUCCGAUCAAUACGUGGAUUUAUUCUUAUUUCCUCUUUUUUGUCCGGAAAAGAUGCCGAUGACGUGCCAAACGUGUGCUAAGCUCCAUCAUACAGACUAGGAACACAUCAAAAGUCAAAGAUCCCGGACACUAAAGAUGACAAAGCCUGCUGAAAGUUAAAAAAAAUUUGUUGUUUCUUUAAAGUUGUUGUUGGUCCAAAACGAAGGUGAUUAUGACUAUUAAAGUGGACUUUGAGGAGUGUUUGAAAGACUCUCCUCGCUUCAGAGCUGAGAUCGAGGCCGUCCAAGUGGACGUGGGCGAACUAGAGACACGGUUAGACAAGCUGGUGAAACAAUGCCAGGCCAUGCUGGAGGCUGGCCGAGUCUACUACCAGACCAGCAAGAGCUUUGUGAGCGGCCUGCAAGGUCUUGGACACCACUGCUCUGGGGACACCAUGAUGGAGGAGUGUUUGCAGACCUUUUCCGAAAAGCUUUCCCUCAUGUUAGAGGCCCAGGGGGAGGUGAUCGAUGUCACCCAGAAGUCGGUCAAAAUGAAGCUCCAGAACUUUGUGAAAGAAGAUGUGCGUCGCUUCAAGGACGCACGCAAGGAGUUCGAGCGCAGUAGCGAAUCCCUGGAAGGGGCGUUGGCGCGGAAUGCUCAGGCCCCCCGCGGGAAGUCUCACGAGGUGGAGGAGGCCAACAACGCGCUGCUCAACGCUCGCAAGGCCUUCCGCUCCGGCGCCCUGGACUAUGUCCUGGAGAUAAACAUCAUUGAGGCCAAGAAGAAGACGGAACUGUUGAUGGCAAUGUUGUCACUAAUGGACGCUCAGGCCCAACUGUUCCAAAACGGCCACCAGUCUCUGGCACAACUCGACCAGUAUCGACAAAAACUGAGCGAAGAGCACAAGCAGUUUGUCCUAAACUCUGCACGGGAGAAGCGUGACAUGGAGCAAAGACACGCGGCCAUCAAGAAAAAGGAUGUCUCUUACGACGACUCCAUGAUGGACUUCAAUCCUGACGCCACUAACGGGGUGGCCAUGGAGGGCCACCUCUACAAGAGAGCCAGCAACGCCUUCAAGACCUGGAGCAGGCGCUGGUUCUCUAUUCAAAAAAAUCAGCUGGUAUAUCAGAAGAAAUUUAAGGAGCAGCCCACAGUGGUGGUGGACGACUUGCGUCUCUGCACGGUCAAGCCCAGCCCUGAGAAUGAGCGACGCUUCUGUUUUGAAGUGGUCUCGCCAUCCAAGAGCUGUCUGUUGCAGGCCGAUUCUGAGAGGCAGCAGCAGGCGUGGAUCAGAGCCGUCCAGAACAGCAUCGCCUCAGCCUUUCAGGAGCGCAGAGAUGACCAGCACAGUCCACGACAGCGCAGCAACUCCAUGUCAUUGAGCUACCCAGGCGGAGGAGGUGUGGCCAGUCAGGAGAACGAGGGCUUCAAGGCCCUGGAGGAGGUUCAGAACAUUGCGGGGAACAAGGAGUGCUGCGACUGUGGAGCACCAGGUCCGGACUGGGCCUCCAUCAACCUUGGCAUCACACUCUGCAUUGUGUGUUCAGGAAUACACAGGAGCCUGGGGGUCCAUUUCUCCAAAGUGCGGUCCCUCACUCUGGACUCCUGGGAGCCAGAACUCAUUAAGCUGAUGUGUGAAUUAGGCAACAGCGUCAUCAACAGGAUCUAUGAAGCGCGCAUUGAUGAGAUUACCUUCAAGAAGCCCCUUCCCUCCAGUCCCAGGGGGGACAAGGAGGCCUGGAUUAAGUCCAAAUAUGUGGAGAAGAAGUUCAUCCAGAAGCUUCCGGAGACUGUCCGAAAUCCCUUGCAGACACACUUUAGCGGCAAGAGGAAUCGGGCGGCCACACAGGACCGGAACACACCAAGACCGCCGCUCAAACCCAAACCAGGCCGAGCAACUCUUCCUCGUUCUGCAGAGACGGGCCCAAGUGACAUCCAAAAGAACAACGCAGGCCCCCACAAAGAUUUGAACGACCAAGAGGAGGAUCUAAGUAUCCUUCAUCCAGGGGCACUGCUGUACCGCUCAGCCGCCCUGCAGAACUUCCCACUCAUGGCAGACGCAUUGGCCCAUGGUGCAAACGUCAACUGGGUCAAAGCGGCUGAGGAGUCCCGCACGCCACUCAUAGAAGCCGUGUCAGUGAACGCCCUAGCAGCCUGCGAGUUCCUGCUACAGAACGGCGCUGACGUCAACCAGGCAGACGGCAACGGGAGAGGGCCUCUUCAUCAUGCCACCAUACUGGGUCACACAGGGUUGGUGUGUCUUUUCCUGAAGCGGGGAGCAGACUACAACGCCAGAGACAACAACCAGAAGGACCCCAUCACCAUUGCAGUGGACAACGCCAACGCAGACAUUGUCACUUUGCUGCGGAUCGCCAAGAUGAACAAGGAGAUGCAGGAGAUGGACGGGGCACUUGGAAAAUCAGGUCUCGUAAAGGGGCAGGCAACUGGGACAGGGAGUGGGCAGGGCCAAAGCAGGAUGAGCCUGCAGGGUUUAAAGACACACAUAAGUGGCUGGGCUCUGGGAGGCCAAAAUGAUUAGCUGAUAAGACAACAUAUAUAACUAAUAAUCAGGCUCAAUCUGACAGGAAUGGGCUUUUUGUUUUGCUCUACUGGUUUUACAGUGUAGCUGUAUUUGUCUGCCAUGCAGUAUAACGCAGUCUCAUUUGAGAUGAAAAAGGGGAAACGCUUUCAUUGGGAAAGCAUAAAAUGCACUUACUUGUGUUCCCAAUGAAGACACUCCAUCGCUUUAAACAAGUCUUCCAUGGCCACAAUCCAUUCUUCCACGUUGCACUUUGGAUUCCACACAUUAUGCACACAGAAAAAGACCAAAUACUGUGAAUAUACAGGUAAAGGAGGUUGCAUAAGCACGGUUGUUAAAAUGUUGUAAAAUGUGUAUGUAUAGCAGUGGUGAGCGUUGCAUUUGGUACCUGGGCUUUCAGUGGGCCAGUGAGACAUUGUGAGAGCCAGUAUCAAAAAACAGAACAAUAAUGAUAGUAAAUAUGUGCCAGAACAGGGUUUCAAACCAGGGUCACCUGUGCAGAGCAACAGAGUUGUUAGCAAUGCGCCAUUCAGGCAUUUUAAGGUUAUAAGAUUGCAGUAAUGCCAACGUUCUAUCAAUAAUACGAGUCCACGUAUCUUCAGAUACACAGUCACUAAUACGCCUGACUUAACAUUACUACUAAUAACUUUGAGUUUGUGACUAAUUUCCACCGGUACAUGGAAAAUUGGAGCUCAGCCAAAUGUGACAAGCAUAAAUAGCACGGCCCGGUGAUUAAAGGAUCAGACGAGUACAAACGUCGACCGUACAACAUCAUCUGAAGCAGUUCACAAUCUAUAUGUAUCUAAUAACAUGACAAAAAUAUAAAACCUUUAAGGUAAAAUAAAAACAUCUACUCACCGGAGAUCAGCCAUUAUGGGCGUAACUUAAUCUUGUUGAACACUUCUCCUCUGAUCAACCAUUCAGAACUGGGGCCUGCAAGCUGGCCCUGAUAGGUGAAACAAAAGUCUUCAUCAUUCCUGAUUCUGAAGGCUCUGGGCAGAUUAAAGUGAUACGGUAACACAUGGAAGCUGAAAUCUGACUGGACAAAAAAAAAUAAAUAAAAAGUUUAACAUACACAAAGCACUGCAGCCAAUAGACUAUGAAAUGAAGCUAAUGGACUGUUGGGAAUAAAUGUAUAUAAUUUAAUGGAACAAAUACUACAGUUUCAGUUUGACAUGUAGGCCAGUGCUUCUGGUAAUGGUUAGGCCAGCAGAGAAGGCCUUACUGGACAUUGAUGUAUAGUUAUGCAAGCUAAUAUUAUUUUGUUACUUCUGUGAAGAGGACCACACAUACAUGCUCGUACUUGUGUUGUAGCCUUUGAGGAACUGCAGCCAGGCUUGUGUUACACUUCUUGUACCUGCGCUGUGCACAGACAUGAGGCCUUGUUAUGUUUGUACGUUCGUUUGUGCUACCUACCCCUGCUGGUCAGUGUUUGACUUGCUGUGUCUUUGUGUGUCCUUGUACUCCUGAGACAAAGAGGUGAUCUCACCUGCUGCAAACUAUGAGGUGAUGAGACCUACCAGCACAUCUUCAGAGACUUCUCACACAUGGCCUCAAACAACCCGGAGAAGCUCAAACGUCGCAGUGCAGAUGGCAAAUUCUAAAACUGUAAAAACUGCAGACACAUGCUUUAAAUUUGCAGUUAUGUGGCCUUGUCAUGUGACACUCACUCAGGAGCUCAGCUGACUUUGGAGGGGAUCAACCGCUCAACAGUCAAGUCUUUGUGUGCACAACAAUGGCGUCCAAUAUGAGAUUGGAAUGACGUGUAUUCGUUCUGCUUGUUUUCAAGUUCUUUUGCCUUUUUUUUUUACCUCUCCCCCUUCUGUUGCCAUAGCAAUAGCAAAUUGAAAUCAUGUCUAUUUUGUCUAAAGAUUACUAAGAUUUAUUCACAACACAACCCAAAAUAAAGACUUAAUUUUGAAAGA